rnacentral:rRNA from 1 species
ACGCGACCCCAUGUCAGGCGGGGCUACCCGCUGAGUUU